rnacentral:hammerhead_ribozyme from 15 species
CUGGCGUCUAAGGUAGGUUUCCACUACAAUACCUUACUGAUGAGUCCAAUAGUGGAAACCUGGACAAAACACCAA